ensembl:lncRNA TEX56P testis expressed 56, pseudogene
AUCUUGGAGAUGGAGGAAAGCUUGCCAGAACAACUGCACACCCCAUCCACUCCUCAUGUUCUCAGUUUGUUCUUCUCUGUGAUACAACCAGCAUCACGAGAACAGCCAGCAGCAGCUCCAGCGUGAUAAAAUUUUCACUCCUUGACAAGUGUAAGAAGCCGGAAAACUGUGCCCAGCCAGAAGUUUUGUGUCGCCCCUUUGAGAUGCUGUCUAACCUCCACGAGCUGCUUCCGAAUCACCUGAUGGAGACGCUUUAUUCCCGCAAGAGUGAAGAGGACAAGAAAAAAUGUGAGAAUCCUGAACUCUCUGGCUUAGAAAGAAUCUUAGCAAGACAUCAGUUGCCAAAAGAGAUUAAUCUGACCCCAAAGCCGAACAGAAUGCCCCCGUGGAAAAGAAAAAUCAUCAACAAUGUAACUGACGGGUGGAAGAAAUGUCACUUGUUGAAGAGAAACACGAAAGAGCCUCCAAUGUCCACCAUAGUUGUCAGUAAUACUAUUCCUUCCAUUUUGCUCCCUUGCUACAUGGCUGAAAAAGAACAUGCAACCCACUGAAGACCUCAAGUCAGUGAUCUGUAGGCUGUCAGCAUUUGGCCCAAUUCAGUCAGCCACUGUUUGUGGACGUCAAAGUGCUAUAGUGGCAUUCAAAGACAUGACUUCAGCCUGUAAUGCUGUGAGUGCUUUUCAAAGUAGGACCCCAGGCACCAUGUUCCAGUGUUCCUGGCAACAACGAUUCAUGUCAAAAGACAAAACUUAUUCAAAAAAAUGUACCCAGAAGACACAGCCUAAGGAAUACAAGCAGGAAACUGAGAAACCUGCCAACAACAGCUAAAGGGACACAAACAGUGUCUCCUGAAUCUUUCAGAAUAACAUGAAAGCUGUAUACCUAUUGUGGAAUUUGAUUAGAAUCCGGAACAGUCAGAGUUGGAACAAUGUUCACAACAAAAUGCAAGUUAAUAAUGAAGGAAAAAUAAAAUCAGUCAAAUCAGCCUAAUGCUUUGGGAAAAAUCUAAAUUCAGUUAAUUCUACCACAAACAACAUGUAACCUGCUUAUGACUGGCAACGCUGAAGGAGGAUUCAAAGGCUCUCAUCUCGCGCUGCUUGCCUGACCUCUUGCUUUCUAGGAGCUGACUUACCCUGUCAGAUGCAUACACGGCAUCGAAUAGCCCAAGGAGGGUGACGGAGAUGCCCACAGCUGGACCAUUGACCACUGCAAUCAGAGGCUUAGGAAAAUCUAUAAAACAGCCCACAAAUUCCCUACAGAAAUGGAAACACAAAAUCAUUAAAUGUGCCAAAGCAGCAUGACUAAAGCAUGGGCAAGACAGUCUGACUCUGAGAUAAAGCCUUCUGUCAGGCUGGGUGUUUCCACAGCCACCACCAGCAGUGCCUCCUUGUCCUGCCACUUCCCUGGUCUUCCGCACCAGAUUCAUCCAGGGCAUCCGUCUGAAUGGCAGUGGAUGGAAGACCAACCAGUGAGACCUAUGGGUCAACCCUGGUUUGAAUCUUGUAUUCUGGACAGUGAGUUCAGGGCUGUAAACCAGCCGCAGUCUUAGAGAUUAGGUUGGGUGACUGAGCACAUGCUGCAAUAUCACAACAAGUGGGAAUUACAGAUUUGGCAGGAAUAAAGAGAAAAGCCUUCAUGACCUCCUCCUGUGUUUACAAGACUCCUCCGAGUCUCCUACCUUCAGCGUUCAUGGAAAUCUCCCAUUCCUCUGGCUGGAUGAGAAUUUGCUAAAUUCCUCUGCCUCAGUGCAAGAUAAUUUUGUUUACAACUAUAGCUCACUUUUAUGUUUUCCAGUCAAAUCUCAUGAGACCAGCAGGAUGAACAGGUAACAGAGGUCAAAGAGAAAGAAUGAAUGCCCACCUAUGGAUGGAGGCAGUUUAGAGAAAUAUGCUUGUCCAAAGUCACAAUUAACUGCACUGACACAGAGAAGCAGAUAUUGCACUUUUGCUCAACUAAAUACCACUUUGAUGACUAAGAACGGGCCCUCUGGGAUCAGACAAAGGAAAAUCACAGUGCCUUCUGGGUAUAUCAGAACCUACCUGAAAUUCACAAACUCUAAACAAUGAAUGCUCAACUCUGUUGUAUGAAGUAGCCACAAUUACCAACCUUCCUGCACAAAUCAAACAAGAGAUAUCUUAAAAUAGGAAUGAUGCUGAAACUCUACAGCUUUUGUGUGAAACACAUAGAAGAAGAAAGUAAAACAGGACAAACUCCGUGGGCAGGCUCCACCUGACUAGAGGAUUCCAAUGAAGGACUCAAACUGGACACCAAAUCCACAUAGUUCUGCCUGGCAGCUUCCUGAACGGACGAUGACAAACAACCUCAGCCCAUGGUCAAUGAAUAAGCACUUUGAGAAAGUUACUAUACUAAUAACUAACACCUUGCAAUGAAGAAAGAAUAGAAGCACAUCAAGAUCUUGAAGACUCCAUUUACAAUGGCUUAAUGAGAAGCACAAACUUCUUUAGAAGUACAGCAAAUAAAAGCACAGUAACUAGU